rnacentral:rRNA from 1 species
UACGAAGGGGGCUAGCGUUGCUCGGAAUGACUGGGCGUAAAGGGCGCGUAGGCGGAUGGCACAGUCAGAUGUGAAAUUCCCGGGCUUAACCUGGGGGCUGCAUUUGAUACGUGUUGUCUUGAGUUCGGAAGAGGGUCGUGGAAUUCCCAGUGUAGAGGUGAAAUUCGUAGAUAUUGGGAAGAACACCGGUGGCGAAGGCGGCGACCUGGUCCGACACUGACGCUGAGGCGCGAAAGCGGGGGGAGCAAACAGG